UGAGGGGCAUGAGGUAGGAAGC
rnacentral:miRNA from 1 species